UACGGAGGGGGCUAGCGUUGUUCGGAAUUACUGGGCGUAAAGCGCACGUAGGCGGCUUUGUAAGUUAGAGGUGAAAGCCCAGGGCUUAACCCUGGAAUUGCCUUUAAGACUGCAUCGCUAGAAUCGUGGAGAGGUGAGUGGAAUUCCGAGUGUAGAGGUGAAAUUCGUAGAUAUUCGGAAGAACACCAGUGGCGAAGGCGACUCACUGGACACGUAUUGACGCUGAGGUGGCGAAAGCGUGGG
rnacentral:rRNA from 1 species